rnacentral:rRNA from 1 species
AGAGUUUGAUCAUGGCUCAGAACGAACGCUGGCGGCGUGCCUAACACAUGCAAGUCGAGCGUGAAAGUACUUCGGUAUGAGUAAAGCGGCGCACGGGUGAGCAACACAUAGAUAACCUUCCCCUUAGCGUGGAAUAACCAACCGAAAGGUUGGCUAAUACCGCAUACGAUCAGCGGACAUGAGUUCGUUGAUGAAAGGUGGCUUCGGCUUCCACUUAGGGAUGGGUCUAUGCCCGAUUAGCUAGUUGGUGGGGUAAUGGCCUACCAAGGCGACGAUCGGUAGCUGGUCUGAGAGGACGACCAGCCACACUGGAACUGAAACACGGUCCAGACUCCUACGGGAGGCAGCAGUGGGGAAUAUUGCGCAAUGGGGGAAACCCUGACGCAGCGACGCCGCGUGAGUGACGAAGGCCUUCGGGUUGUAAAGCUCUGUCAGCAGGGAAGAAAUUCCAGGUGCUAAUAUCACCUGGCGAUGACGGUACCUGCAGAGGAAGCACCGGCUAACCCUGUGCCAGCAGCCGCGGUAAUACAGGGGGUGCGAGCGUUGUUUGGAAUUACUGGGCGUAAAGCGCGUGUAGGCGGUCUACUAAGUCAGAUGUGAAAGCCUGGGGCUUAACUCCAGAAGUGCAUUUGAAACUAUUAGGCUAGAGUGAUGUAGAGGAUGGCGGAAUACCCAGUGUAGAGGUGAAAUUCGUAGAGAUUGGGUAGAACACCGGUGGCGAAGGCGGCCAUCUGGGCAUUAACUGACGCUGAGACGCGAAAGCGUGGGGAGCAAACAGGAUUAGAUACCCUGGUAGUCCACGCCCUAAACGAUGGAUACUCGCUGUAGCUGGUAUUGACCCCGGCUGUAGCUUAGUUAACGCGUUAAGUAUCCCGCCUGGGAAGUACGGUCGCAAGAUUAAAACUCAAAGGAAUUGACGGGGACCCGCACAAGCGGUGGAUUAUGUGGUUUAAUUCGAAGCAACGCGCAAAACCUUACCUAGCCUUGACUUGCCUCUGAAUCCUAGUGGAAACACUUGGAGUGCCUUCGGGCACGGAGGACACAGGUGCUGCAUGGCUGUCGUCAGCUCGUGUCGUGAGAUGUUCGGUUAAGUCCGGCAACGAGCGCAACCCCUGUCUUUAGUUGCCAGCAUUAAGUUGAGCACUCUAGAGAGACUGCCGAUGUUAAAUCGGAGGAAGGUGGGGAUGACGUCAAGUCCUCAUGGCCCUUACGGCUAGGGCUACACACGUAAUACAAUGGAUGUCACAAAGAGAUGCGAACUUGCAAAAGGGAGCCAACCUCAAAAAAGCAUCCUCAGUUCGGAUAGGAGGCUGCAACUCGACUCCUUGAAGCUGGAAUCGCUAGUAAUCGCGGAUCAGCAUGCCGCGGUGAAUACGUUCCCGGGUCUUGUACACACCGCCCGUCACACCACGAAAGCUGGUUUCACCAGACGCCGUUGAGCUAACCGUAAGGAGGCAGACGUCCAAGGUGAAGUCGGUGAUUGGGGUGAAGUCGUAACAAGGUAACCGUACUAGUACGAUC